UUGACCUCCAUCACUUACACCGUGACACCGUGGACAGAGUGUUUAAGUCUAAAGACCCGACGCAUUUCUGUCAAGGCUUCAGAGGAAUACCGAGGCAACGCUCGCUGUGGGAACUGAACCCCGGACCCUGCCGGUGUAAAUAAAAGCCCCAUUGUGCAGGUCGUCUACCGUUUCCUGUCCGCAGUAUUGACGGCGGCCUGCAGCAGCGUCAUUCGUCAGCGGGGAUCUUUUCAAUAAAGCGGCAAUUUGCUGAGAUC